GUGCUCACUUUGGCAGAACAUAUACUAAAAUUGGAACGAUACUGAGAAGAUUAGCAUGGCCCCUGCGCAAGGAUGACCCGCAAAUUAAAAAAAAAAAAAAAAAAACA